rnacentral:misc_RNA from 1 species
UAUCCGUAGGUGAACCUGCGGAAGGAUCAUUAUUGUAUAACCGAGGUGCGAGGGCUGUCGCUGACCCGACAGGUCGUGCACGCCCGAGUGCCCUCACACACAUCCAUCUCACCCCUAUGUGCACCACCGCGUGCGUCCCCCUUUGGCUUGUUCGGAGGGGGGCUUACGUUUUCACACAAACUUUGUAUGCAGUGUAGAAUGUCUUUUUUGUUUUUGCGAUCACGCAAUCAAUACAACUUUCAACAACGGAUCUCUUGGCUCUC